ACAGGGAUUGCCCUAGUAACGGCGAGUGAAGCGGCAACAGCUCAAAUUUGAAAUCUGGCGUCUUCGGCGUCCGAGUUGUAAUUUGCAGAGGGCGCUUUGGCAUUGGCAGCGGUCCAAGUUCCUUGGAACAGGACGUCACAGAGGGUGAGAAUCCCGUACGUGGUCGCUAGCCUUUACCGUGUAAAGCCCCUUCGACGAGUCGAGUUGUUUGGGAAUGCAGCUCUAAAUGGGAGGUAAAUUUCUUCUAAAGCUAAAUACUGGCCAGAGACCGAUAGCGCACAAGUAGAGUGAUCGAAAGAUGAAAAGCACUUUGGAAAGAGAGUUAAAAAGCACGUGAAAUUGUUGAAAGGGAAGCGCUUGCAGCCAGACUUGCCUGUAGUUGCUCAUCCGGGUUUCUACCCGGUGCACUCUUCUAUAGGCAGGCCAGCAUCAGUUUGGGCGGUUGGAUAAAGGUCUCUGUCAUGUACCUCCUCUCGGGGAGAACUUAUAGGGGAGACGACAUGCAACCAGCCUGGACUGAGGUCCGCGCAUCUGCUAGGAUGCUGGCGUAAUGGCUGUAAGCGGCCCGUCUUGAAACACGGACCAAGGAGUCUAACAUCUAUGCGAGUGUUUGGGUGUCAAGCCCGAGCGCGUAAUGAAAGUGAACGGAGGUGGGAACCUUUCGGGGUGCACCAUCGACCGAUCCUGAUGUCUUCGGAUGGAUUUGAGUAAGAGCAUAGCUGUUGGGACCCGAAAGAUGGUGAACUAUGCUUGAAUAGGGUGAAGCCAGAGGAAACUCUGGUGGAGGCUCGCAGCGGUUCUGACGUGCAAAUCGAUCGUCAAAUUUGGGCAUAGGGGCGAAAGACUAAUCGAACUAUCUAGUAGCUGGUUCCUGC
rnacentral:rRNA from 1 species